rnacentral:rRNA from 1 species
GACAGAGGGUGCAAACGUUGUUCGGAUUUACUGGGCGUAAAGCGUGUGUAGGCGGCUUCGCAAGUUGGAUGUGAAAUCCCACGGCUCAACCGUGGACGUGCCUCCAAAACUGCGUCGCUAGAGUCUCGGAGAGGAAGGUGGAAUGCUUGGUGUAGAGGUGAAAUUCGUAGAUAUCAAGCAGAACACCUGCGGCGAAGGCGGCCUUCUGGACGAUGACUGACGCUGAGACACGAAAGCGUGGGGAGCAAACAGG